UAGUUUGGAUUUCUCGGUGGGAGCACGGGUCGGCCCUCACGGGUUGUACUGUUGUUGCGUCCCGCCGUUUCGGAGGGAAUGGUCUCGCUAUUAGGUUAGCGGGGUCGGGAACUCUGUCGUUUACUGUGAAAAAAUUAGAGUGUUCAAAGUAGGCCUUCGCUGUGAAUACUUUUAUCAUGGAAUAAUAUGAUAGGACUAUAGUGCUAUUUUGUUGGUUUGUGUACUGUGUAAAUGAUUAAUAGGGAUAGUU
rnacentral:rRNA from 1 species